rnacentral:rRNA from 1 species
UGAACGCUAGCGGCAGGCCUAACACAUGCAAGUCGAGCGGAUGACAGGAGCUUGCUCCUGAAUUCAGCGGCGGACGGGUGAGUAAUGCCUAGGAAUCUGCCUGGUAGUGGGGGACAACGUCUCGAAAGGGACGCUAAUACCGCAUACGUCCUACGGGAGAAAGCAGGGGACCUUCGGGCCUUGCGCUAUCAGAUGAGCCUAGGUCGGAUUAGCUAGUUGGUGAGGUAAUGGCUCACCAAGGCGACGAUCCGUAACUGGUCUGAGAGGAUGAUCAGUCACACCGGAACUGAGACACGGUCCAGACUGCUACGGGAGGCAGCAGUGGGGAAUAUUGCACAAUGGGCGCAAGCCUGAUGCAGCGACGCCGCGUGAGGGAUGACGGCCUUCGGGUUGUAAACCUCUUUUAGUAGGGAAGAAGCGAAAGUGACGGUACCUGCAGAAAAAGCACCGGCUAACUACGUGCCAGCAGCCGCG